rnacentral:rRNA from 1 species
UACGUAGGGCGCAAGCGUUGUCCGGAAUUAUUGGGCGUAAAGAGCUCGUAGGCGGCUUGUCACGUCGGAUGUGAAAGCCCGGGGCUUAACUCCGGGUCUGCAUUCGAUACGGGCUGGUUAGAGUGUGGUAGGGGAGAUCGGAAUUCCUGGUGUAGCGGUGAAAUGCGCAGAUAUCAGGAGGAACACCGGUGGCGAAGGCGGAUCUCUGGGCCAUUACUGACGCUGAGGAGCGAAAGCGUGGGGAGCGAACAGG